GAUGAACGCUGGCGGCGUGCCUAAUACAUGCAAGUCGAGCGAACAGAUGAGGAGCUUGCUCCUCUGACGUUAGCGGCGGACGGGUGAGUAACACGUGGAUAACCUACCUAUAAGACUGGGAUAACUUCGGGAAGCCGGAGCUAAUACCGGAUAAUAUAUUGAACCGCAUGGUUCAAUAGUGAAAGACGGUUUUGCUGUCACUUAUAGAUGGAUCCGCGCCGCAUUAGCUAGUUGGUAAGGUAACGGCUUACCAAGGCAACGAUGCGUAGCCGACCCGAGAGGGUGAUCGGCCACACUGGAACUGAGACACGGUCCAGACUCCUACGGGAGGCAGCAGUAGGGAAUCUUCCGCAAUGGGCGAAAGCCUGACGGAGCAACGCCGCGUGAGUGAUGAAGGUCUUCGGAUCGUAAAACUCUGUUAUUAGGGAAGAACAAAUGUGUAAGUAACUAUGCACGUCUUGACGGUACCUAAUCAGAAAGCCACGGCUAACUACGUG
rnacentral:rRNA from 1 species